AAGGGUAUAGCUCAGUGGUAGAGCGUGUGCUUAGCAUGCACAAGGUUCUGGGUUCAAUUCCCAGUACCUCCA
rnacentral:tRNA from 1 species